rnacentral:rRNA from 1 species
GAUGAACGCUGGCGGCGUGCUUAACACAUGCAAGUCGAACGGUGAACACGGAGCUUGCUCUGUGGGAUCAGUGGCGAACGGGUGAGUAACACGUGAGCAACCUGCCCCUGACUCUGGGAUAAGCGCUGGAAACGGCGUCUAAUACUGGAUAUGUGACGUGACCGCAUGGUCUGCGUUUGGAAAGAUUUUUCGGUUGGGGAUGGGCUCGCGGCCUAUCAGCUUGUUGGUGAGGUAAUGGCUCACCAAGGCGUCGACGGGUAGCCGGCCUGAGAGGGUGACCGGCCACACUGGGACUGAGACACGGCCCAGACUCCUACGGGAGGCAGCAGUGGGGAAUAUUGCACAAUGGGCGCAAGCCUGAUGCUGCAACGCCGCGUGAGGGAUGACGGCCUUCGGGUUGUAAACCUCCUUUAGCAGGGAAGAAGCGAAAGUGACGGUACCUGCAGAAAAAGCGCCGGCUAACUACGUG